rnacentral:tRNA from 1 species
GUCCAGGGUAGCCUAGUGGACAUGGCAUCUGCCCGGUAAGCGGAACACUGUGGGUUCGAUUCCCAUCCCUAGACA